rnacentral:lncRNA from 1 species
GAGACAUAACUUAGAGAAAUAUAUCUAUGAGGAAAAAAAUGCAUAUGCCUUUUGUGAAAGGAAUAAGUAUUGUUGUGACUUAUUGUGGAUCCUCACAAAUAUGGUCACUCACCAAACAACAGGAGUGAAAAAGCUGCAACACUAUGAUGACCUGGUGGUCAGAGAAUCAUUCACACCACUGGCAUGAACAUAAAAGAACUAUGCCAUGUUGAGGAGUUUCUGACAGGAUAAAGGGAGCACCAUUCUUUGGCAUAGCUGGAAGUGACAGAGAUGGGCACAACUAGGCCAUGGAGCAAGUAAAGUGGAAGUCCCAGGAAACCAGAUGAUUAAAAUUUAUCUGUUUCUAAGAAAAAGUUGACCUUAUAAAGAACUUGGGUAAGGGACAUAGGGUGAAAGCCAAUGUUUCUAAGUAACAUUAAUAAAGAAAGAUAUCUUGAGA